GGCGGCUUCAUUCACCGCCUGAUUCUUGUUGUUCCACUGGUUAGGGCUCUGAGCCUGAGGGGCCCCCUGAUUAGGAUAUCCAGAUUGGGGGUAUCCCCGAUUCUGAUUCUGAUUGUUCCACUGAUUUGGGUUCCUGGGUUGCUGAAAAUUGGGAUUUGGAGGGUUCCCCUGGCUAGGGUUUCCAUAUUGGGGGUAUCCUCGAUUCUGAUUCUGAUCAUUCCACUGAUUUGGGCUUCUGGGUGGCUGCUCAAAAUUAGGGUUAGGGUUUUGACGCUGAGGACACCACUGAUUAGGGCUCCCACGCUGUGGGUAGCUCUGAUUCUGGCUAGGAAAUGGAUUAGCCUCUGAUUCUGACCCUGAUAAUGGUGCUGGGUCUGUGAAUUCCACUGGUUAGGGUUUCCGUAACCCUGGUUUGGUGGGCUCCACUGAUCAGGGUUUAGAUUUCUAUGGUCGGAGGGUGGGGUUUGCUGUGGAGCAGCCCCUGGGUACUCGUUUGGGACGGCGAAGGUGCUCAGGGUUUUGGAAAUGGUUAGGGUUUGGAGGGUGUUGCAGUGAAAUGAGUGAGAAGGGUGGAGAGGCCGUACCUUGUUGAAGAUGGAAGAGAGUGGUGCUGGGGUUCGAGCGCGUCGAAUCGCCAUGAGAGAGGCCAUUUCUGAGAGGAAGCUAAAACCCUGAGUGAAAGCUCGCUCCUUUCUUAUGUAAACCCUGAUUGAACCCGGUUCUGAUGGGGCGGACCGCAAACCCGGUUCAGAUAGUUUGUCAAUUGCUGGAUUCUGGAGAUACCACGUGGAACGUAUUUGAUUUGGAGUAUUAUCAACUCAUGUCCAAUUCUCAAGGAUAA
rnacentral:lncRNA from 1 species